rnacentral:lncRNA from 1 species
AUCCCUUCCUAUAAAAACAUUAAAAUUUUAGGCCGGAGCAAGAAAUAAUAUUCUGCUCCUUGACUCUCGAUGGUCAGAAACCAAGAAUCAAAAAGGAACUCGCAACGCUUAAGUAACAAGUGGAAGUUAUGAAAUCACAAAUACGAUUUGGAUACAACCUUAUUAGAAACAUAUGAUAUCCAAAUUCACAUACCCCCUUGAUCUUCAAAACCCGUUAACACUAUCAUCUACAAAUUAAUUCUUGUAUCAUGAAGAAACUAAAUAUGUCAUGAUCUUAAAAGGGAUACCAAACAAACUAUCAACAUACGUAUGCACGUUAAAAGAUCUAUCUUGAUCAUACAAGAGCUUCUUCCUUAAAUAAAAACUCAUACGAAAUCAUGUAACAAACAUUAAUUGCUCUGAAACUCUCCUCAAGGCAAAGGCUCCCUGAUCAAAU